CAGCCGCCGCGGUAAUACGUAGGUGGCAAGCGUUGUCCGGAAUUAUUGGGCGUAAAGGGCUCGCAGGCGGAUUCUUAAGUCUGAUGUGAAAGCCCCCGGCUCAACCGGGAGGGUCAUUGGAAACUGGGAAACUUGAGUGCAGAAGAGGAGAGUGGAAUUCCACGUGUAGCGGUGAAAUGCGUAGAGAUGUGGAGGAACACCAGUGGCGGAGGCGACUCUCUGGUCUGUAACUGACGCUGAGGAGCGAAAGCGUGGGGGGCGAACAGGAUUAGAUACCCCUGUAGUCCCUGUCUCUUAUACA
rnacentral:rRNA from 1 species